UACAGAGGGUGCAAGCGUUAAUCGGAAUUACUGGGCGUAAAGCGCGCGUAGGUGGUUUGUUAAGUUGGAUGUGAAAUCCCCGGGCUCAACCUGGGAACUGCAUUCAAAACUGACAAGCUAGAGUAUGGUAGAGGGUGGUGGAAUUUCCUGUGUAGCGGUGAAAUGCGUAGAUAUAGGAAGGAACACCAGUGGCGAAGGCGACCACCUGGACUGAUACUGACACUGAGGCGCGAAAGCUAGGGGAGCAAACGGG
rnacentral:rRNA from 1 species